GGUCAAGCUACGAAGGGCGCACGGUGGAUGCCUAGGCGAUCAGAGGCGAUGAAGGACGUGGACAGCUGCGAAAAGCUCCGGGGAACCGCUAACAGGUUGUGAUCCGGAGGUCUCCGAAUGGGGAAACCCGAGCAGGGAUUACCUGCCAGCCCAUGGUGAAUACAUAGCCAUGUGGCAGCCAAGCCAGGGAACUGAAACAUCUAAGUACCUGGACGAAAGGAAAGCAAAAGCGACUCCCCCAGUAGUGGCGAGCGAACGGGGAAGAGCCUAAACCCAAGCAGUGCAAGCAUGCUGGCGUUGCUGUUUGGGGGUCGUGGGUUUUUGCAGGAGAGACGGCAUUCUCUCCGGCGAGUAAGAAAAGACGAGUCUAGCCGAACGGUAUUGAAAGGCCGGCCAUAGAGGGUGACAGCC
rnacentral:rRNA from 1 species